rnacentral:lncRNA from 10 species
GGUAAAAAUAAAUAAUAUUAAUGAAAUUACAAUAUAUGAGUACAGUUAGAUUAGAAAAGGUGAAGGGUUAUCAACACUUUUUGCCAAUAUAUUUGAAAAGUUAAAAUAGGCCAAUGUUUAGGAAAACAAUUAUCAAAAUCACUUCAGAAGACAUAGAAAACCAGCAUCAGCUAUUAUUUGAUGAAGUAGAAAUCAGUAAUACUUCAGGUGAUGUGGAAAGCCCCAGGUUAGGGCUCUGAGAUGUACAUUCCAGUCUUUGAGUUUUCGCAGAUUGUUUUUCUUUACGAAGUCACUUCCUUGUCUUCCUCAGGACUAACUCUUGCUAAUCA